rnacentral:lncRNA from 1 species
UACAUUCCUAGAGAAUUCUGAACUUUUGAAGCUUAUCCGAGACUAAUUACUCCUUUGUCUCGUAGACCAAGUCCUCCUCUGAUCUACCCACGCCGUACUCCUGGACGAGGAUGAUCUCUUCAAUCUAAAGAGAGUCUGAUAGAGCAGAUUCAAACCGCCUGCAGAGUGUCUCCCUGCUGGGCACCAUCGUCUUCACCUCCUACAUGGAGAAGUCCUGUCGGAAGCGUCUUCCUUGCUUCUCUAAACCAGGACUGCUGCUAUUAAGCAGAUAAAGAUCUCAUCACUGUCCUCAAGAUUGAGAUCUGAUGUUUAACUCAACCUUAUUCGGAUCCAAUCAUCAUCUAUCCGUACCUCCUCUCGGAGAAGUAUCCGUUCCUCCUCUAGGAGCAGUAUCCGUUCCUCCUCUCGGAGAAGUAUCCGUACCUCCUCUCGGAGAAGUCCCGUCGGAAGCAUCUGUGUUUCUCUAAACCGGGACUGCUGCUUUCGAGCAGAUAAAGUUAUGUAUAAGAGACAGCUGGUAACGAUCAUCCAACUCUAGAGCUAUUAAAUUCUCCGGCCUAAUCAACUUUUUCACGGGUCCUAGCUCUGUAUCGCUGUACCAGAAAUA